rnacentral:tRNA from 1 species
GGAAGGGUGGCAGAGCCCGGUUGAAUGCACUCGACUCGAAAUCGAACAAACGGUUAAACGUUUCGGGGGUUCGAAUCCCCCCCCUUCCGCCA